rnacentral:rRNA from 1 species
AUUGAACGCUGGCGGCAGGCCUAACACAUGCAAGUCGAGCGGGGUUUUCGGACCUAGCGGCGGACGGGUGAGUAAUGCGUAGGAAGCUGCCCGAUAGAGGGGGAUACCAGUUGGAAACGACUGUUAAUACCGCAUAAUGUCUACGGACCAAAGUGUGGGACCUUCGGGCCACAUGCUAUCGGAUGCGCCUACGUGGGAUUAGCUAGUUGGUGAGGUAAUGGCUCACCAAGGCGACGAUCUCUAGCUGGUUUGAGAGGAUGAUCAGCCACACUGGAACUGAGACACGGUCCAGACUCCUACGGGAGGCAGCAGUGGGGAAUAUUGGACAAGGGGCGCAAGCCUGAUCCAGCCAUGCCGCGUGUGUGAAGAAGGCCUUCGGGUUGUAAAGCACUUUCAGCGAGGAGGAAGGCUGGUGUGUUAAUAGCACAUCAUUUUGACGUUACUCGCAGAAGAAGCACCGGCUAACUCUGUGCCAGCCGCCGCGGUAAGAC